CCCUUAGAUGUCCGGGGCCGCACGCGCGCUACAAUGGAUGAAUCAACGCGUCAUCCUGGCCCGAAAGGGUUGGGGAACCGCUGAACCUCAUCCGUGGUUGGGAUUGGGGUUUGUAAUUAUUCCCCAUGAACUAGGAAUUCCCAGUAAGCGCGAGUCAUAAGCUCGCGUUGAUUACGCCCCUGCCCUUUGUACACACCGCCCGUCGCUACUACCGAUUGGAUGGUUUAGUGAGAUCCUCGGAUUGGUCACGGCACGGUGGCAACACUGCGUCGGUGUGCCGAGAAGACGAUCAAACUUGAUCAUCUAGAGGAAGUAAAAGUCGUAACA
rnacentral:rRNA from 1 species